rnacentral:tRNA from 1 species
CCUGGUAGCUCAGCUGGUAGAGAAUCUGCCUACAAUGCAGGAGACCCUGGUUCACAUCCUGGGUCAGGA